rnacentral:rRNA from 1 species
AACGAACGCUGGCGGCGCGCUUAACACAUGCAAGUCGAACGAGAAGGCGUAGCAAUACGCUGGUACAGUGGCGAACGGGUGAGGAAUACAUGGGUAACCUACCCUCGAGUGGGGGAUAACCCGCCGAAAGGCGGGCUAAUACCGCGUACGCUUCCGAUCUUGCGGGAUCGGAAGGAAAGCUGUCCCAAGGGGAUGGCGCUCAAGGAUGGGCUCAUGUCCUAUCAGCUUGUUGGUAGGGUAACGGCCUACCAAGGCAUCGACGGGUAGCUGGUCUGAGAGGACGAUCAGCCACACUGGCACUGCGACACGGGCCAGACUCCUACGGGAGGCAGCAGUGAGGAAUAUUGCGCAAUGGGCGAAAGCCUGACGCAGCGACGCCGC